rnacentral:rRNA from 1 species
GACGAACGCUGGCGGCGUGCUUAACACAUGCAAGUCGAACGGAAACGCGCUGCUUGGGUGGGGUGCUCGAGUGGCAAACGGGUGAGUAACACGUGAGUAACCUGCCCUGUACGUUGGGGUAACUUCAGAGAACUAGUAAUAAUACCUGCUAGGAGCGCCUGCUGCAGGGUGGGGGUUGGACAGCUUGGGAGGGUGGGGAUGGACUCGCGGCUUAUCAGCUUGUUGGGGGGGGAGUGGCUUACCCAGGCUUUGAAGGGUGGCCGGCCUGGGGGGCGGACCGGCGACAUGGGGACUGAGGGAGGGCCCAGAGGGGUACGGGAGGCAGCAGUGGGGAAUAUUGCACAAUGGUCGGGAGUCUGAUGAAGCAGCGCCGCGUGCGUGAUGACGGCCUUCGCGUUGUAAACCGCUUUCGCCUGUGACGAAGCGUGAGUGACGGUAAUGGGUAAAGAAGCACCGGCUAACUACGUG